GGCCAGGUAGCUCAGUUGGUUAGAGCAUUGUCUUGAUACGCCAAGGUUGCAGGUUUGAUCCCUGGUCAGGGCA
rfam:Myotis lucifugus cont2.19387, whole genome shotgun sequence.